GUUAAUUUGAGUUCAGGAGGAAGUGGCCUGAGGUGAUGUGAUUAUCUGAUCUCAGAGCAGUGUGUGUGUGUGUGUGUGUGUGUGUGUGUGUGUGUGUGUAUGUGUGUGUGUGUGUGUAAUUCAGUCAGAGCUCACACCUGCCUGCUGAGGACACACACCUAGGACCAGACAGGAAACACGUAGAAAUCUCUUUAAUAAUCCACUUAACAUCUAAAAGGUCACAUGAGAGGCUUUAACUGUCUGUCUGUUUCUCUAUCUGUCUGUCUCUCUAUCUAUGUCUGUCUGUCUCUCUAUCUCUGUCUGUCUGUCUCUCUAUCUCUGUCUGUCUGUCUCUCUAUCUCUGUCUGUCUGUCUCUCUAUCUGUCUGUCUGUCUCUCUAUCUCUAUCUGUCUGUCUCUCUAUCUCUGUCUGUCUGUCUCUCUACCUCUAUCUGUCUGUCUCUCUAUCUCUGUCUGUCUGUCUCUCUAUCUCUGUCUGUCUGUCUCUCUAUCUCUGUCUGUCUGUCUCUCUACCUCUAUCUGUCUGUCUCUCUACCUCUAUCUGUCUGUCUCUCUAUCUAUGUCUGUCUGUUUCUCUAUCUCUGUCUGAUUAAAGCUGACUGUAUCAUCAUAUAUCAAUAUCAGGUUGUCCUGAUGUUGGUUGUUCUGGUGUGAUGGUGAAUAUGAUGUUGUCCUGAUGUUGGAGGUUCUGGUGUGAUGGUGAAUAUGAUGUUGUCCUGAUGUUGGAGGUUCUGGUGUGAUGGUGAAUAUCAGGUUGUCCUCUCUGUGCUAAACUGCUGGAAAGAAGCACCAAUAAAUCUCUGACUGUCUGAGCUCGGAGCUGUCGUGUUUCAUCACACCGGCGACUCUGUGCAGAUGAUUUACAGAGGUUUGAGGUUGAUUGUAGACAAAUAGCUGUCGUGUCAGUCCCACACACCCCCCCCCCCGCACACAGACAGACGUCUGCCUCCUAAAAGCUAUGCUCAAGGUGCUUUUGUUUCAGCAUGCCAGAAUUAAUGAAGCUAUGUUUCAUUCCAGUGUGUCAGGUGUCAGUGUAAAGUGAGAUCCAGAAGAAUCCAGCUCUAAACCACAACUGUGUGUUCUGCCAUCGAGGAAUAUUAAAGGUGUAUUGUAGUGCAGAGUGCAGGCAUUGUGGGAGGUGUUUACAUGAGUACAUAAUCUGUAAUAAACCCUUUUUAACACUCAUGCUGUCUUCACUACUUAGUAAUAAAUAUUCCAGGCUACAGAUUUAGAUUAAAAACAGACAGUGUGUCUUUCUUCUGUCUGUGUUUCAGUUAGCAAUUUAAACUGUAUUGAUGGAACAGAGCCACAGAGGCCACGCCUCCUUCACUGAGACUGACAGACACAGAGGCCACGCCUCCUUCACUGAGACUGACAGACACAGGG
ensembl:lncRNA